AUUGAACGCUGGCGGAAUGCUUUACACAUGCAAGUCGAGCGGCAGCACGGGGGUAACCCUGGUGGCGAGCGGCGAACGGGUGAGUAAUACAUCGGAACAUGCCCAGUCGUGGGGGAUAACACUUCGAAAGAAGUGCUAAUACCGCAUACGUCCUGAGGGAGAAAGCGGGGGAUCGCAAGACCUCGCGCGAUUGGAGUGGCCGAUGUCGGAUUAGCUAGUUGGUGGGGUAAAGGCCUACCAAGGCAACGAUCUGUAGCUGGUCUGAGAGGAUGAUCAGCCACACUGGGACUGAGACACGGCCCAGACUCCUACGGGAGGCAGCAGUGGGGAAUUUUGGACAAUGGGGGCAACCCUGAUCCAGCCAUUCCGCGUGAGUGAAGAAGGCCUUCGGGUUGUAAAGCUCUUUCGGCAGGAACGAAACGGUGAGCUCUAACAUAGCUUGCUAAUGACGGUACCUGAAGAAGAAGCACCGGCUAACUACGUG
rnacentral:rRNA from 1 species